UUUUGAAUCCCUUUAGCUACCUAAGACAUACAAAGGGCCAUUAAAGGGGGAUUGAGAAGUUCAUGCAAACUUCUUGCAAAGUCUCCAAUGCACAGGAAAUCAGCCAUAUUCAGGAAACAGCACACACAGCAGUCAUAGUUUCAAGGGUGUGUCUAUACAGAUACUCCCCCCGACUCUGCUGUGUAUUUCCCCAUAAACAUCACAAGGACGUCUUGUAGUUAGAUUGAAAACAAUGAAACGACUAAUCCUGAGUUGCCAAUCAUGGAAGUCUACACAUCCCUCCUCUAAAUAAUCAACGGUCGCUAUAGCCUACAAUAAGUAUCGCAAAUUAAUAAAAUUACAUGUGUGCCAGCGAGAUUAAAAGAUGAAGAAGGUAGAUUAAAUGGAUAUGCAGACACCAUGAUGCAAAUGUGAAACCCUUUGUUCCCAGUGUUACACAAACCCCAACAAGAGAUGUUGUGGAUGUAAGCAUUCAAGAUUGUAUUGUACAGUUCUAGGUCAAAAUAAAAUAUAUAUUAACACACCAAGCUACUACGGAAAUCAUUUAUAAAGAGCUGAUAAAAGUGAAGUGUUAGAAAUAUGUGUUUUCUGGCUAUGUUCUUAGGUUUACAAUGCUUAUUAAAGCUUUGUCUUUAUUUAUAAUA